rnacentral:tRNA from 1 species
GCCUGGGUGGCUCAGUCGGUUGAGCAUCCGACUUCGGUUGAGCAUCCGACUUCGGCUCAGGUCAUGAUCUCGCGGUUUGUGGGUUCGAGCCCCGCGUCGGGCU